AGAUUUAAAGGUCGAACAGACCUAAUUAUUGAGCUCUGCACCCAAAAUUAAUCUUAAUCCAACAUCGAGGUCGCAAUCUGUUUCGUCGAUAUGAGCUCUCAAAAACAAUUACGCUGUUAUCCCUAAGGUAACUUAAUCUUAUGAUCAUAAAUUAUGGAUCAUUUAAACAUAAAUUAAUGAUUUAAUAAUGAAGAGUUUAUUUAUUCUUCAUGUCACCCCAACAAAACAUCAACAAUUAAUAUAAAAAGAUAAUAAAAAAAAUAUUAAAUUAAAAUGUAAAGCUCUAUAGGGUCUUCUCGUCCUAAAGAAAAAUUUAAGCCUUUUAACUUAAAAGUUAAAUUAUAAAAUUUAUUAAGAGACAGUUAAUUUCUCGUCAAACCAUUCAUUCCAGCCUCUAAUUAAGAAACUAAUGAUUAUGCUACCUUUGCACGGUCAAAAUACCGCGGCUCUUUAAAACAAAUUCAGUGAGCAGGUCAAACUUCAAAAUAUUAUCAAGAAGACAUGUUUUUGUUAAACAAGGGGGG
rnacentral:rRNA from 1 species